rnacentral:lncRNA from 1 species
UGCACCUGCUGUCUGGGCCUGCUCCUCUAGAGGUUUCUCCAGAAAAGAAAAGGACAGGAGAGUUGGAGGUAAGUAAAAACACCACUUCCAAACUCCUAAGAGUUCUGAGUUUAUAAAUGCUUUAUUCUAUAAGACAUUAACCUGUUUUAAAAAACAUUUUAUUGAUGCAUAAUAUAUUUACAGUAUUAAUUUUUGAUAUUUGGCAAAACUAAUACAAUUAUGUAAAGUUUAAAAAUAAAAUAAAAUUUAAAAGAAAAAAAAAAAGUUAUUACUGCAGAGCUCUGGGACAGAAGUCCUGAAAGGACCUCGUUUCAGAAGAUGCUACUAGAGCAAGAAGGAUUUAAAUCAUUUUCCUUAGGAGGGGCUGCACAGUCUCCAGAAAGCGAGAGUUAGAGAAGAUAGAUAUUUCACAGUUGGAACCAAAUAGAAAGGAGGCAUUUCACGUGCUGUAACAGAUCUACUGUUUUUAAAGUCUCUUUGGUGAUAUCUGACACUAAGGCUACUUGUAUAUUACAUUAUAGAUUGUCAUUUCAGUGUCUGGACCAUGAAAUGUUACUAGUGUGAAAACAAAAAAGCAGAGCCUUUGGCUCCUUCAGACAGUGAAAGCAAUUUGAGUGGGCUGAGUCAGAUCUAUCUGGAGGGAGAUCUGCUACCUCAAAGGGAACCGCCAAUGAGGGUUCUGCUCAUGUGGCUCUUAGAUUACUCCCAAAAAAGCAGUGAAGCAGUAAACCCAGCAGGCAGUGGGGUCAAUCUGCCACUUUUCCAACUUCCUCAGAAUUACCACCCUACUCCUUGUGAACAACCGAAACUCUGGAGAGUUAUUUCCCAAGUUAAAGAUCCCGAUGCAAUUAAGGUGAGAGAGCGGUUGAUCAUUUCUAAAACCCGGUAACUACACGUGGGCACACAGCGCAGAAACUGAUUCCUUUCUCCGUUUGGGACUUCUGCUCACUCCUCCCCCUAGUUACAUCCCGACUUCCAGGUCCUGACCACCUUUCCCUCUGCAGCCGCCUCGGCCAGAGCACUGGUCCCACCUCGGGAUGACUGGCCCUGUGGGACCAGGACGGGAUCUCUUUGGGGUGAUCAGACCCCAGGCAUUAGGCCUUCUCAGAUGACUGGCUCUCAAAACGAACGCUGCCUCCCCGAGUUGACGAGAUCCCAAGAUUGGGUUGAGGCCUCUUCAGGGUGAACCAGCUCCAGGGGAUUGGAACUUGGGACUCCUCAGGUGGCCGACUCCCGAGAAUAAGGCCUUCUCGGGGGUGACCGGGCACAGGGACAGGAAGGGGCCUCCUCUGGGUGACCGGUCCUUGGGAACGAAACAGGGCCUCUUCGGAAUAACGGGACCCGAGAAGAAGAUGGGGCUUCCUUAGGGUGACUGACUUCCGGGAUGAGGCUUCUUUCAGGGUAACCAGAUCCGUAGGUCCGAACGCGGCCUCCUUGAGGUGACCGGCUCCGAUAGUGGACGGGGACAGGGCUGCCUGACCGGCUUCCGGGGAUAAGGCCGUCCCGGGGUGGCCAGAUCCUGGAGCCUGGAUGUGGUCCUCGGUGACCAGCUCUGGGAUACCAGGAAGGGGACGAGAUGAAGCUACCGCCCGACAUCUCCUGGGAACUCGCGCAGGCACAGCUGCGUCCCUUGUGCCCAAGGGCUCCUUUCCCUGGGCUGGGCCUCGCGGACUCUGCCAAGGCUGGAACCGAAGUUCGAAGCCGGAGUCCGAGUGCUGCG